UGGGGAAUAUUGGACAAUGGAGGAAACUCUGAUCCAGCAAUUCUGUGUGUGUGAAGAAGGUUUUAGGACUGUAAAACACUUUUAGUAGGGAAGAAAAAAAUGACGGUACCUACAGAAGAAGCAACGGCUAAAUACGUGCCAGCAGCCGCGGUAAUACGUAUGUUGCGCGCGUUAUCCGGAAUUAUUGGGCUUAAAGGGCAUCUAGGCGGUAAGACAAGUUGAAGGUGAAAACCUGUGGCUCAACCAUAGGCUUGCCUACAAAACUGUUGAACUAGAGUACUGGAAAGGUGGGUGGAACUACACGAGUAGAGGUGAAAUUCGUAGAUAUGUGUAGGAAUGCCGAUGGUGAAGAUAACUCACUGGACAGAAACUGACGCUGAAGUGCGAAAGCUAGGGGAGCAAACAGG
rnacentral:rRNA from 1 species